GCGGUGCGGCCGGAAGUAGGGGGGGCUGAGUGCUGGUGCCGUCAUGAAGCCGGCGGUGGAUGAGAUGUUUCCGGAGGGCGCCGGCCCCUACGUGGACCUGGACGAGGCAGGGGGAAGCACGGGGCUGCUGAUGGACCUGGCCGCCAACGAGAAGGCCGUGCACGCAGACUUCUUCAACGAUUUUGAAGAUCUGUUUGAUGACGAUGACAUCCAGUGAACUUAGUUGUCCUGCUGUGCUGAGAUGUGGAGUUCCUCUGGGAUCGCCUGUGGAAGAGCUGUGGGUUUUGUCCGGUUUCAAGAUUGAUGUUCAGCUUCCAUCAGUGCUUUGUUUUAACCGAAGUAGCAGAGGAGCAAAAAGUCGUUAUUUUAGCUUUUUUCUUUUUUGACUCAGGCUUUCAUUUUUAGAAAACUCUUGCUUUGCUUGAAGAGGGAGGGAUUUCAAGCUUUCCUCAUUGAAACCAAUAUAUACACUGACUGCUUAGUGUUAGCAGCUUUGUUUGGAUUGGUCCUGUCUCUGGUGCUGCACUUCUGAGCAAGGCUUUGGGAAGUGAGCUGUUACCAGUAAACAGACACUGUGUUCUGAGUUAGUGCCAAAAAGAAAAGGCUUGAAGAUACAGCUGUUCCCUUUUGUGCUGGUUUGGCUGCAUGCAUCUGCUGAUGCCCAGAUUCUUCAGGAUAGUAGUUGCCUUGGAAUACUGUUUUGCUUUUUUUUUGUUUCCUCUCCCCCAUUUGCUUUGUUAAAUUUAAACUCAAAGUAAGUCUUAAGUUUAAUGGGAUGAUUGUCAGGGUACGUUUAUUGUUAGUCAUCUGGAGUAUGAAGCUAUCCCCUGUCCAGUGAGACUGGAAGGAGAGUCUGUGCAUAUAACUGCUUUCCUAAAGAAGUCUUAAAGUGUAGGAAUUCUCAUUAGGAACUGUAAUUUCUUUGGAUCUCUUUUGGGACAGUAUUAAAAUGGAAGUGCUAAUUUGAAAAACAAUACCCUUGAGCUUCAAAUUAUUUCUUCUUGUCAAGUCUCUCAGUCUAAUUAGUCUGCAGGCAAUCAGCCUGUCAUCAGCAGAUAAUUAUGAGAUGUCAGUCUCUAAUAAAAAUUGA